UGUAUAUGUGUGUGUGUAUGUGUGUGUGUAUGUGUGUGUGUGAGUGUGUGUGUGUGUGUGUGUGUGUGUGCACGCAUAUGGGUCUGUAUGGAGGUGGCUGCAGAUUGAAUAAUUAGUAAGAGAAAGGGUAAGAAUUGUAUCUGAAUUUGAAUGGAUUAGUGGUCAUACUAAUUUUGGUGAAAAGUGUUACUGAAAGGACUUCUUUGUGCAUUCAAAAUUUGUAUAGGAUAUACAACCAUUUUAUUCUCUGUCACAUCAGCAUUCUGUCUGACAGCAUCCCUUCCAUACCAUUUCUACCUCUCUUGCUUGUAUCAACUUCUGUUUUUCAACCCUAUCUAUUUCUACUCACUCUCUCCUUCCAUUCUCAUCAUUUCCCUACUUUCUUCUGGCUAUCUACUCUACUCGUUAUAUUCCACCAACAGCCA